UGGCGGACGGGUGAGUAAUGUCUGGGGAUCUGCCCGAUAGAGGGGGAUAACCACUGGAAACGGUGGCUAAUACCGCAUAACGUCGCAAGACCAAAGAGGGGGACCUUCGGGCCUCUCACUAUCGGAUGAACCCAGAUGGGAUUAGCUAGUAGGCGGGGUAAUGGCCCACCUAGGCGACGAUCCCUAGCUGGUCUGAGAGGAUGACCAGCCACACUGGAACUGAGACACGGUCCAGACUCCUACGGGAGGCAGCAGUGGGGAAUAUUGCACAAUGGGCGCAAGCCUGAUGCAGCCAUGCCGCGUGUAUGAAGAAGGCCUUCGGGUUGUAAAGUACUUUCAGCGGGGAGGAAGGCGACGGGGUUAAUAACCCUGUCGAUUGACGUUACCCGCAGAAGAAGCACCGGCUAACUCCGUGCUAGCAGCCGCGGUAAUACGGAGGGUGCAAGCGUUAAUCGGAAUUACUGGGCGUAAAGCGCACGCAGGCGGUCUGUUAAGUCAGAUGUGAAAUCCCCGGGCUUAACCUGGGAACUGCAUU
rnacentral:rRNA from 1 species